rnacentral:rRNA from 1 species
GACGAACGCUGGCGGCGUGCUUAACACAUGCAAGUCGAACGAAGUGGCGAACGGGUGAGUAACGCGUAAUCAACCUGCCCUUCAGAGGGGGACAACAGUUGGAAACGACUGCUAAUACCGCAUACUGAAGGAGGGGAUUGCGUAUGAUUAGGUAGAUGGAGGGGUAACGGCCCACGAAGGCGAUGAUCAGUAGCCGGUCUGAGAGGAUGAACGGCCACAUUGGGACUGAGGCACGGCCCAGACUCCUACGGGAUGCAGCAGUGGGGAAUCUUCCGCAAGUGACGAAAGUCUGACGGAGCAACGCCGCGUGAGUGAUGACGGCCUUCGGGUUGUAAAGCUCUGUUAAUCGGGACGCGGUACCGGAAUAGAAAGCCACGGCUAACGACGUGCCAGCAGCCGCGGUAAUUC